UAAGAGGCCCACUGCCGAGAUCGAAACUUGGCACACGGGCGACGACGACGAAGCCGCCGUUCAAGAGGACGAGUGUGACAAGGGACAGGACGAGUCAUGUGCCGAACGGAUUGUCUCACGUAACACAAAGCAGUGAUGGUAACCCCUUUGUGGAUUAACAAUGUAGAUGUAGAUGUAGACUUACAAAAGAAGAAGCAUACAGGGUGGUAAAUUAAACAAAAAAUCAUCUAUUUUGUUGACGACUCAAGCAAAGAUAAGAGCAGCUUCAGAAAAUCCUUCAUGCCCCCCCCCCGUGCCAUAAACAGGAAAGGGAUUCUAAAAAUUUAUUUUUAUAAAGACAAGAUUGGUACCUGAACAAUAUGGAACUAGAUAUACAAUAGUACGUAACAUUGUGAACUGAAUAAAAUUUUCAUUUGAACGAC